AGUAUUAACCCAAAUAACUAUGCUUGACAUUGCAGCAAGAAGACAGUUGUUGUGACUUUGUGGGGUGAUCUUGCAACUAACAUUGGAAAUGAGUUACUGGAAAUUGCUGAUAAAUCCCCAGUAGUUGCAAUCAAAUCUGUCAAGGUUUGGGACUUUGGAGGUGUUUCUCUGUCAGCUAUGCACAGAAGUUUAGUUAUGAUCAAUCCAGAUGUACCCGAGGCUCGGAAGCUCAGAAGCUCAGAAGCUGGUAUGAUUCUGAAGGUAAGGAUGCUGCAAUGGUUGCUUUAAGGUCUGGAUCAAUUCCAUCAUCUAACAGCGGAAUUAGAUCAUUGUACUCUAACUGUGUUCCACUUUCUCACAUAACCCUCUAACCCCUCCUUGGGGGCUGAGAAGCCUGCAUUCUUCAGUAUCAGAGGAUAUAUCAGUUUCAUAAGGCCAGAUCAGGAGAUGUGGUAUUGUGCCUGUAAGACUUGCAACAAGAAACUUACUGAAAGCAUGGGUGAUGGGUACUGGUGUGAAAGUUUCCAGGAAAACGACGACGAAACAAUUUAAGAUAUAGUAUGAUUGUAAGAGUUUCUGAUGCAAGCAGUGAGGCUUAUAUAUCUAUCUUCAAUGAGGAAGCUGAGAAGAUCAUUGGCUGCUCUGCUGAUGAGCUAAACGACCUUAGAUCACAGGAGGGAGAAGAGAAUCCAUAUCUAAUGAAAUUGAAGAAAGCUACAUGGAUUCCACACCUCUUGCGGGUCAGUGUUUCUCAGAAUGAGAACAACAACGAGAAGAGGCAAAAGAUUACAGCCGUGGCAGUUGUUCCUGUUGACUUGGCUGCGAAUCUAAAUUUCUCCUUGAAGAUAUAUCGAAGAUGACAGCCUCUCAAUAAGAUGGAAAUGCUGAUUCAAUCUUUCUAGAUCUUUUGGUUCACUGCUUUUUCAAGUAGAUGUUGCUGCUUGUAAAUAUUAAUCCUUAGACGAUUUAGUAUAUAUUUUGGCUGAUUCCAGAAAUAUCAAUGGAAA